AUAGUGUAGUUAAUAGUUACUCUUAUAAGUUCACAUAUUGGGUGGACGUUUCUACAUCGGACCAAUCCGAUACUAAUAUAACUAUUAUUGACAAU
rnacentral:ncRNA from 2 species